rfam:Prunus persica cultivar Lovell chromosome G1, whole genome shotgun sequence.
GGGAUGUGAUGAGUGGUCAGUAUUCGCAAUAAUUAUGCGAGAGAUGGGUGUCCGCCCCAAAGCCUGGUUACGACAAUUGGGCACCCUAAUCUUUGUACCAUCUGAUCCC